GGGUCGGGGGCUGGGAGGCAGCCAGAUCUGGGAGCCUGGGGCUGUGUCAGCUCAGCUCUGUCCACCCGCACCCCACUUGCUGGGCGUCUGGGGGAAGGAGUCCCACCCUCUGAGGAGAAUAGGUGACAAAGGAGCCUACAUUGGAGGGCUGUGUCCAGGCCCGCCGUCCAGUCCCUUUUAACGGGUGUGUGUGACAGAGGCUCACACAGAGACUUGAACUUACUUUUGUGACAUUUUUGUGUGUUUGUCUUUUAGUUGUCUUAUUUUUCUGUAGUUUUUUUUUUUUCUUGCUUUUAUGGGGUGGUGGUUCUGCCCAAUGCGGGCGUUCCAUUUUUCUCCUUAAUAGGUCGGCAUUUAUACUGUGAACACCUAACUUAACUGGCCUUACACCUUCAUCUGGACAGCUCAAGGACUUCUGGUGGCCCGAGCCCCAAUUCAGCCUUCUCCAAGCUAAGUGCCUGCUUACCAAGUACCUUAACUGUCAGUUUUGCGAAAUACUGCAUACCACACGCUAUUAUAUUUAAUUUUUGAUUUUUAAGUUUCACUGUAUUGAUUUAUUCAUGACCUAGUUCCUUCUCUUUCAGAGGCUCUAAUUCUCAUUCUGUUAUCAUUCAGGUGUCCAGGGGCCCGGCUCUGUUAUGUCUGCAUGGGUCAUGGCAGCUGGCAGGACAUUGUUUUUCUCAAACAGUCACUUCUUGGGCUCUUCUUAGGCUUUUUCCCUUAGAACUUGACUUUGUCGAAUCCUCUGAAACACCUUAGAAGGUUCGUUGGGAUUGCAGGGGCUCAAGGACAGGUUUGAGGGACGGGUUCCUGGCCUGCCGCGCACUCACGAAGGCCUCUUUCAUUAGAGCUUGGUAAUCUGCAUGCAGGUCUUGCUCAUUUUUGUUAGAUUUAUCCCCGGAAACCAUAUCAUUUUUGACUGGCGUUGUGAAAGGUUACUGUUGUUUAAUGUAAUAUACUCCGGGAAGAAUGUAUAAAUCAAAGUCCACACUCGGAUGAUUUAACGCAUUUAGUAAGUCUGCAGAGUUGGGCUUAGAGCCUUCUCUCCUGGAAAGCUGGUUCCUGCUCAGCUGCACUGAAUGUGUGAAAAGGUCACAUACCAGGUGACGGGGGGGACACCAGACCUGGUUGGUGAACACUCGGCGGAGUAGACGGGUGUCGAUACUGUAUUGUACACCAGAAAUUUGUGAAAUCUUGUUAACCAACGUUACCUCAAUUAAAACAUUUUUUUAAAUAAAGAUUAACAAGCUCUGGGGAUUCUAGCUAAUAAAAAACAAAGCAAAACAAACCCUAUCUCUUGGCAAAGUGCUGGAACACCCCGUGGGGAUUGUGCCCUCCACAGCCUGUCAAUCUGGCGAAGCAGGUGCUCGUGCCAUAGAUGAAUCACCUGGGAGAAAACCGCUAAAAUUCUUCAUUUUCAAGUCCGGCCAGUGAAGCUCCCUGUACAACACCCCAAACCUCCUGGUUUCCACUAUUCUCGCAAAGAGCCAGGACCCUGGAAAAGGAAAGUCACAGACGUAAGCCCUGCGGGUGCCCUCAGCCCCACAGCCACCCUCCUUGGUGUCCUCCCAGUGGCCGGUGACGCCUCCGAGGGCUGCAGGGCCCCUGCUCGCCCCUUGUCUUCAUCGGCUCCGAGGUGAGUCUCUGUCCUGUUGGUGGCACCAGGGCCACAGUCAGUCACUCCCCUGCUGUAAAGCAGCCCAUGCUUCAGAGCCCAAAUUCGGGGGUCCCUGAGACUGUGCCCUUGUGUCCAGGCCCUUGGGAGGCACCCCCUUUCUUCCAGCUCCCCCGCCUACCCAUUUCGUGAGCCCAGACUCCCAGAGGGUCGAUGGAUGUCUGUCUCCCAAAGGGGGAAGUAACCUGCGGUCUGAGGGGAGCGUUGAACAGGAGGAUCAAGUGACUGCCAGCAUCUUCAUCUGCUCCCCUCCCAACAGCACUGCAGCCCAGUCUGGGAGCACUGACCACUGGGAGCACUGACCACCGGGUCAGCCGCCACCUCUUCGUGGGCAAAACCUUCCACUGACGCUGGCAGCGUCCACAGGUCACCUCCUGUCAAGAUUCACACCGACCCUUCGAAAGCUCCUCCUGGAGCAGAUAUCUCGCGGGAGGUCCUCGGGGCACCGUGCCCAUGGCAGAUGACUCCAAGACUAGGAGAUGCACCCUGAAUUAGUCCUGGUGACACCUGUUUCACCUGUGAGAAAGCCAAGCACCCAGGGUGGCCGUUCAUCCGGGACCUCCGCGUGGCGACACCGUCAUCCCUUGAUACCAUCCCCAACCCUCAGGUGCUGCUGGCAUUCACUCUGUGGGAAGAAGAACCGGACACCGUGACCUGUGAGCUAGGGAGAGUCAUGAACCCGCUGGCUGUGCAGAAGUUACUGAAACAUGGCACAAGGUGGAUGCAUCUCAAAAGCGUCGCAUGCCGGAGGCCAGAGCAGGCUCGAAACCACUUACCACGCGGACCUAUACGAGUCUAGAGGAGGCACAAAUGACCCAUGGUGCUGGAAUCAGAUCAGUGGUGACCCGGGGCCAGGGGCCAGGGCGGUGGCUGGGAAGGUCCAUGGGAGAACUUUUUGGGGGUGAUGGAAAUGUUCUUUAUUUUAAUUAUGGUGUUUGUUUUGUGGGUGCAAACGUCUAUCAAUACUUACCACACUCUAAAUGGCUGCAUUUUAUUCUUUGUGAAUUGUACCACAGUAAAUUGCUUUUUAGGAAUAUCAAAGAUAAACCUAACGAUCUUCUUUUAGCCUCGAUUAAAAUGAAAAGAAGCCACCCACACAGAGCCAUCACAGAAGACUAGGGAAGGAUGGUUUUAUGGACCCCACAGCCUUGAGAAUCCGAAGUGCUGGGUUACUGAUUACUCUCCUGUGAGAUAAGGGUGAGCGAGGCCGAGGCGAGAACGGCGCAGCCAGGAGCGCCGGGGCAAAAGGCUGUCCUCGCCCGCGUCUCUUUCUGCUCGGGCGGUUCCCAGGGAGCACUUCCUGGGCCAUUAGAGCAGAAACCGGUUAAUUUCCCGGUGGCCACACAAGCUGUGCCCUAAUCUAUGACACGAAGUCUCCUGCGGAAGACAGGGCUGGAGUUCGGAGGGCGAAACCGAACCCUGCCCGUGAGACUCAUCGCGACCCCAACGGCGUGCUGAGGGUGACUCCGGCGGCUCGCGUCUCUCUUGGGCGCCGCACAGGCGCCAGUGGCGAGGCCCAGGGGCGUUUCCAUCUUUCCUUCUGCUCCGUCCACUGUCAAGUCAAUUCUCAGAAAGUCCUUCAUACAAACGCCAAAGCUAGAGAGCUGCGUGUGUCCCCAGCGGGGCGGACGUGAAGCACAGACAGCGCUGCCUGGAUGUUGGUGUCACCGGGGCUGGACGGACUGCCCCCCCCACAUCCAUCCCGCAACCACAGCCCUUCUUCUAUGACCCCGCGACUAGCCGGCACCGCCGCGACUGAAACAUGUGCGGGAUUAAUAACAGAAGCGUCACGCAGUUUGGAGUGGGGGGCCACCUGUAGGGGGCGCGCCUCGCCCCACCACUCACGUCAAUCACCCCAAACCGGAAGGGACUGCUCUCCGCCUCCAGCAGGCGGGAGGAGGAGCUCCGCCUCCUGGCAACCUCUCGGCCAAUAAGAAGCCGCGACAUUUCCAACCUCCCGUUUCCCGCAACCGGCUGUUUACAACAACCCCGCCCACCUCCCCUCUUUACUCUGUAAAAGGUUCCCCUCCUUUGUUCUCGUGGCCACUUAGAGUCACCAUGUCCAGAAUUAUAAUUCUCCAUGGUUCCCAAAUAAACUCAUUUUGUUGGAAAAAUAUCUUGUUUUU